UUUACGCACUAAAUUUCCAUCCGAUUUAAGCAUUAGAGAGGUGACGAGAACACACCUCGUUGCCUUUGUUUUAGGUAUCAGAAGAUCGAUCGUGUUCAUCUACAACCUUCAACCUCGACGUCCCAGCUCUCAGUUCGAGGUUCAUUAGGUACAAUUUUUAGUAGCAUCACUUUAUAUUUCCGUUUAGUUGAUUGUGCACUGUUUUUUGUUUUUAAAUAUACAAAC
rnacentral:lncRNA from 1 species